CCGCGGGCGCGGCGUUCGGCGCGCUGUUCGGCUUCGUCGCGACGCGCCGCGCGGGCACCGCGUUCGCGAUGAUCACGCUCGGGAUCGGCGAGCUCGUCGCGGCCGCCGCGUGGAGCGUGCCCGAGUGGUUCGGCGGCGCGGGCGGCGUGUCGAUCGACCGCGCGGCGGGCCCCGCGCUCGCCGGGUGGGAGUUCGGCAAACCGAUGCAUGCGUAUGCGUUGAUCGCCGCAUGGUGCGUCGUCGCGGCGGUGGCGAUGCGGGUGCUCGUGCGCACGCGCCUCGCGCGGCUCGCGAACGCGGUGCGCGACAAUCCGGCGCGCGUCGCCGCGCUCGGCACCGAUCCGUGCCGCGUGCGCUUCGCCAUGGCGAUCGCGGCGGCGUUCUUUGCCGGCGUGGCGGGCGCGCUGACGCUGAUCGACGUCGAGGUCGCGACGGCGGAGAGCGUCGGGAUGCUGCGCUCGGGCGCGGUGCUGUUCGCGACGGUGAUCGGCGGGACGACGGCUUUUUUCGGCCCCGUCGUCGGCGCGGUGUUGCUGACGUUCUUCAGCGUGUUCGUCGCGAGCGUGUCGCGCGCGUGGCUGCUGUACCUUGGGCUGCUGUUCGUCGCCGUGGUGCUGGCCGCGCCGGGCGGCGCGAGCGGCCGGUGGCGCGCGUGGCGCGACGCGCGGCGGCACGGGGGCGCGCGCUUCGAUGCGCGACGCGCGUUGCCCGGCGCGGGCGCGGCGCUCGCCGGCGGCGUCGCGAUCGUGUUCGCCGCCGAGCUCGCAUAUGCGCUGCAGUUCGCGCAGAACGAUGCGCGGCGCGCGGUGAUCGGGCCCUGGCGAUUCGAUGCGGGCGCGCCGCUCGGCUGGGGGAUCGCGGCGCUCGCGGCGGCGCUCGGCAUGGGGCUCGCGCAUGCGGCGCGACGGUGGGGGCGCGGCGCGCCUCGCACGAAUGGGCCGGCGUUUGCCGAUGCGAUCGAUACGUGCGGCGCGGCGUGCGGAUCGGCGGAGCUGAAGGCGCGCGAUGCGGGCGAUGUGGACGGUUCGACAAACGCGGCGAGCGCGGCAAACGAGACCAACGCGGUGAGCAUUGCAAGCACGACAAGCACGACAAGCACGACAAGCAUGACAAGCAUGACAAGCGCGACAAGUGCGACAAGCGCGCGUCGUGCCGCCCGCGUGUCCGACAAUGCCCCGUCGCCGGUGUUCGAGGUCGCCGCCGAGCCCGUCGGCGGUGGCGUGCACGCGGCGAGCGCGCCGCCCGCGCUGCGCAUGGCGGACGUGAGCAAAUCGUUCGGCGCGACGCCGGUGCUCGUCGGCAUCGAUCUGACGAUCCGCCCCGGCGAGCGCCAUGCGCUGAUCGGCCCGAACGGCGCGGG
rnacentral:rRNA from 1 species